CCUUGUCUGAAACCUUCGACAAUUUUCCAAUUUGAGAAAAUAAUCUUUGUCGGCCGAUCGACGAAGCUGUAUCGAAAUCCAUCCGAAAUCCACUUCCAUCGUCUUCGCUUAUACAUCAAUUCUUUGCAAAUUAUAAGAUCUUAAAAGAGAUUAGUAGCCAUAUUUCGAUGGUUUCUCAAAAGAAGAAGAAUAACGAAGAUAAGUUUUUUUUAUCCAGAUUAUUAUAUAACUUGAGCACUUUAUUGCAAAAUGCUCCUGCUUCAUUAUUCUUUAGCAAAAAAAGAUAAUUAAACAUUUUAUUUACAAAUAAUCAUUAGAAGAGUAAAUCUAUACUAUUGAUAAAUCGUAAAUUACAGAUGUAUCAGCAAGAAUCAUCUCGACAGUCUCCCCGGAGUAUUGGGUGUAUUGAGUCCAUGAAUGGACGAUUUUCACUUGGAUCUUCCAUUGAGUCUUGAAUGGUUUGACUGCAUUAAGUUCUGUGAUGGGAAGAGCCAUUGUUUGAGAGAUCUACUAAAUGCGAGAGAAAUAUAAAGGCCCAACAUCGACUAAGCCCAGUAAGCUCAUUAUGCACUUCUGGAUAGAGAUCCGACUGCUGGCUCCAAGAUCCGCUGGUAAUGGAUCCAAGAUCCGCGUGUAAUUGGCCUUAAAAUUGUCCAUUAUACCCUCUGACGAUUUCUGUUUUUUAGUCGUUGGUUUUAAAUUUUCCAAUGGCAUUCUAUUGUAAUUUUUUACACUUUAUAGGGUUAGUUUAGUUAGAAUGAUUCCCUUUUAAUAGUAUAGAUAUUUGGGCAUUUUUGUUAACAUUAUUUGAAUUAGCAAUAUCAACUUAAUACAUGUACAAUUUAUUCUUACCAGAAAAAGAACAAAAUUUAAUAAAAAUCAGAAAAGAAAGUUUUAGGGUGUGAUAA